AUAGGUGUGUUGGAAUGGUAGACAAACUCCGUUUAGGUCGGAGAGGCAGCCCGUGCCGUGCGAGUUCAAGUCUUGCCACCUAUA
rnacentral:tRNA from 1 species